AGCCUCAGGUACUGAGGAGUCCUUGUGGAAUUCCCCUUUGGAGUUGAGAGUUUCACAAGUUGUACAAUCACAAGGAGGGCACCUGUCUCUAAAUUCUAUGGCAGUACUGGCUGUGCCUGAGAAACCUCCUGCCACUCAAGCCCAGCAAGCUAUCCUACUAGGGCUGUUGUGAAGAUGCCUUCUGGGACUGGGGAGCCUCCUCUGUAGAGGCUCAUCCUACUGUCUCUGCCAGACCUGAAGAGACCUCAGCUUACAUGGACCCUUAUCCUGCCUGGCUGCCUGCAGCCACAGUCAUGUUCCCCAGGGAGCAUAGCAAGAAAUGCUCAUCCCAACUGCACCCCUGAGCUAAGACUCAGCCUCACUUCAUUCCUGAAUCCUACAGCCUUCCUGUCCUGGGAACUGGGCAUCAAUGCAGACACUGCAAGUAUCCCUUUACAUCUUCAGUUCAA
rnacentral:lncRNA from 1 species